AUUGAACGCUGGCGGCAGGCCUAACACAUGCAAGUCGAGCGGAUGAAGGGAGCUUGCUCCUGGAUUCAGCGGCGGACGGGUGAGUAAUGCCUAGGAAUCUGCCUGGUAGUGGGGGAUAACGUCCGGAAACGGGCGCUAAUACCGCAUACGACCUGAGGGAGAAAGUGGGGGAUCUUCGGACCUCACGCUAUCAGAUGAGCCUAGGUCGGAUUAGCUAGUUGGUGGGGUAAAGGCCUACCAAGGCGAUGAUCCGUAACUGGUCUGAGAGGAUGAUCAGUCACACUGGAACUGAGACACGGUCCAGACUCCUACGGGAGGCAGCAGUGGGGAAUAUUGGACAAUGGGCGAAAGCCUGAUCCAGCCAUGCCGCGUGUGUGAAGAAGGUCUUCGGAUUGUAAAGCACUUUAAGUUGGGAGGAAGGGCAGUAAGUUAAUACCUUGCUGUUUUGACGUUACCAACAGAAUAAGCACCGGCUAACUUCGUG
rnacentral:rRNA from 1 species